rnacentral:rRNA from 1 species
GAUGAACGCUGGCGGCGUGCCUAAUACAUGCAAGUCGAGCGAACAGAUAAGGAGCUUGCUCCUUUGACGUUAGCGGCGGACGGGUGAGUAACACGUGGGUAACCUACCUAUAAGACUGGGAUAACUUCGGGAAACCGGAGCUAAUACCGGAUAACAUUUGGAACCGCAUGGUUCUAAAGUGAAAGAUGGUUUUGCUAUCACUUAUAGAUGGACCCGCGCCGUAUUAGCUAGUUGGUAAGGUAACGGCUUACCAAGGCGACGAUACGUAGCCGACCUGAGAGGGUGUGCGGCCACACAGGAGACGAGAGACGCGGCCGAGACUCAUGGGGGGGAGCAGUGGGGGAAAUUUCCCAAAGGGGGCAAGACCGAGGCGGAAAAGCGCCGCGAGAGAUAUGAGGGUUUGCGUCGCAAAAAUCUCUUUUAAGAGGAAAAAAAAAGUGUAAAAAUAACUGCGCGCCUUUUGAGGACCCAAACAAAAAACCCCACGUAAAAAUGC